rnacentral:rRNA from 1 species
UACGGGAGGCAGCAGUGGGGAAUAUUGCACAAUGGGCGCAAGCCUGAUGCAGCCAUGCCGCGUGUAUGAAAAAGGCCUUCGGGUUGUAAAGUACUUUCAGUCGUGAGGAAGGUGUUAAGGUUAAUAACCUUAGCAAUUGACGUUAGCGACAGAAGAAGCACCGGCUAACUCCGUGCCAGCAGCCGCGGUAAUACGGAGGGUGCGAGCGUUAAUCGGAAUUACUGGGCGUAAAGGGCACGCAGGCGGUUAAUUAAGUUGGAUGUGAAAUCCCCGGGCUUAACCUGGGAAUGGCAUUCAAGACUGGUUAGCUAGAGUCUUGUAGAGGGGGUAGAAUUCCAUGUGUAGCGGUGAAAUGCGUAGAGAUGUGGAGGAAUACCGGUGGCGAAGGCGGCCCCUGGACAAAGACUGACGCUCAUGUGCGAAAGCGUGGGGAGCAAACGAGGGAUUAGAUACCC